UAUGGUUGACGUCAAGGACACUGUGUCCAUGUUUCAUACAGUCCAUGUCCUCUCCUCGAGUUCUCCCCACUGUUCAAUAUCAAAAUGAGGCUGCGAGUAGACACUUCUGUGAAGACCCUCACAGUGGACCCCAAGAGUCUCCAACACUACAUUUUGACCCCGACUGACCCUCCAGCAUCAGUCCCAGAUGCUGCAUCGUCUCACCCUGGAGCAAUCGAUUGGAGUCUCAGCUCAGUUUGUCCUGGUUUUGUUCUCCAAGGGAGCGCAGCUGUGGAGCAGUCUGCUGUACACUGAUGCCUUAUGGUGAAGUGGAACAUGGACACUGAAUGUUUUUCUCUGUUAGAAUAAGAAAUGCACUCACAAUAUGGCAAACAAGUUCCUUCGGUGCUUCUCGUGAUGAAAAGUGAAGAAUUAAUUUACAAGAAAGUGCAUUAAAAUGAGGCAGACUUUUUAAUUACAUGUCACACCUGCUCAAAAAGAUAGUCAUGUCACUACAAAGCAAUUUAUCACAGUCUGAUGUUCAACACAUUUCAGGAAAAUCUGCCCGUUUAAUUCCUUUAUUGAUCUGGUGAAACAUUCCUCAUCUGUCAACCUUCAGGAAAGUGCUGGGUCAUCUUCUCUCUAAAUCUGCUUUAAAAAACAUAACUGAAAGUCCUGUUUCAUAUCACUACACUGUGCUUUCAAUCUUUAAACAAUUAGCAUUUACUGUGAUUUCCUGCUUAACUGAAUAAACUCGCAUAAAAUAACAUUGAUACAUAUACAUUUU